rnacentral:rRNA from 1 species
AAGGAGGCCCGGUUCCUAGGCAACUAGGGGCUGGGGGCACAAACCAGGGGGUGGCGACUGUUUAUUAAAAACACAGGGCUCUGCGAAGUCGCAAGACGACGUAUAGGGUCUGACGCCUGCCCGCUGCCUGAAGGUUAAAAGGAGGCGUGAGAGCUCUGAAUUGAAGCCCAGGUACCCGGCGGCCGUAACUAUAACGGUCCU